UAAAAAGCACUAUACAAAUAAACUUGAAUUGGAUUGUGCUCUGGUGCUCUCAUUCUCAGUGCCAUCAAAAUAAAAGUCCGGCCUCGAACGCAUCAGCCAAGCAGAAUAACUUAUCAGCUGAUGCCGAUAUUUGAAAUAUUGGCCUUGGUGAUAUAUCGGUCGACCACUACAGGUAAUCUGGGGAAAAUCAUUGUUUAAUUUACAGCAUCAUUUACUCUUACCAGACUCGUGCAGGAUUCUUGCUCUAUGUCGGGUCCACCCUUUUUCUGGCUGUGGUGCCUCCAUUGUCCUAACACUCUUCAGCAACCUGUCAAGAUCUUUAUAUGGAGGCCACCAGGAGUAGCCAUCUGCAUACCAGGACUUGGCAGCUGGUCCAGUCGUCCCUUCUCCCUCAAACUCCACGAUUAGAAAUCAACUGUUGUUGAGAGGUCAUCCACUAAAUGAAUGCCAAGUGUAGAGGAUGGCAGUGGAUAGUCAAAAAAGGAUUCCUGGUGGUUGAAGUGGGCAUGUUGGUUUCCUCAGAAGUCUUUUGAGUUUGUUUAGGUGAUUCUCAUACUUGAAAGCACUGAAGUUGUCAAGGACACCAUGCUUUUUUGCAUCAUCUGCAAGAUGUACAAGGCAGUGUGCAUUGUAGGACAAGAAUUGUGGACCAUACAGUUGCCCAAAGUGAGAGACAAAGAGCACCACCUACAAGUCAGAGGACCCAUCUUAAGCCACAAGAGAAGAAGCCGUCUCAUGAUUCCGAGGCACACAAGGUGCAUGUAGUCAAGGGGGAAACCAGAGACCAUGUUUAGGGAUGUUUCUUCAAGAGUGUCCCUAGGAUGGGCCAGAACUGUGUUGCUGAACUCUUAUAGAGAGGCAAACCAUCAAUGCUGACCUGAAGCUCCAACGUGUGAAAAUUGCGCAGAAUGUCAACAUUCUGAUGUAGCACCUCUGCAAUUGAAUUCAGCACUCCGAAAUGCAAGGCAUUCGAUUGGCUGGUAGGUGCUGAUGUCGCGCUGCAAGAACAACAUGGCACGGGUUCAAAGCCUUAUUCAACUGAGAAAAUUGAUCAGCGUCAUGGUACAAGCGAAGUCUGAAUGGUUUGUUUCCUUGUUUCUUCUGCCUUGGCUGCACAGCUGUGGAAACCUGACCUGGUGAGGACCCUCUCCUCCAUCCUCAACUAUUGAACCUCUUAUAUCACUCGGAUGAGGACAGACCAGCCUGUGAUCUCCUAAGACACCCAGAUUCAGCCCUGGUCACGAUCUGUCCCACACCUGUGUCUCAUCACAGUCCAUCACCAGUGUCUGCACCCUGCCUACUGCCAAUAUUAUGGAUUUCUGUUCUGGAGAGAGAUGCCAUUCACAACAUAAUCUCUAUACAAUAUCAAACUCAAAUAAUUUAGUCUUGCCUAACAGUUUCCCUGAUUUGUUACAGUUCACAAUGUAGCAUGGUCUUGCCUAACUUUGUCCAUUCAGUUGUUAAAAUGUUUUUAAUAUUUGAAUUGAA